UUGGUUCAUACCAGACUAAAACAAUGUUUUCUAUGUGUCCAAACAAAAUCAAGCAGCAAACAAAAUUUAUUUCACCAUACUGCAAAAUUACGUGAAUGAAUUAUAUAAUUUUGAUCAAACUGUGUGGAGAAACAUUUCGGACAGCCUCUCGCCCCCGCGUCGCGGGCGGCCAACCCUAGCUGCCGCCGGCCGCUUCCCCUUCCCUGCCUCUCCUCCUCGUCGCCACCAGAGGGGCCGCCGGUGCGCCGCGCGGCUGCCAAGGAUGGUGGCGGCGAGGAUCUAGUAGCCUCGGUCUCGCUCGAGGUGCCCUGCAUCCAUGUUGGUGGCCAUGGCUGGUGGGUCGGCGUCUGCUUCAGCGUGCGGCGGCUGGCGGUGCUGGCCGUCCUCCUCGCCCGUGGAGGCGGCGAGUGAGUGGCAGGUGGUGGCGGUGGUGCGGGGCCCUUCGAUGGUGGCCGUUUUCGAUCUGAUGGCCUCUUCCUCGACAUCCGCGGCGUUCUCCUGCCAGAUCUAGCUUAUGGUGGUCUCCGGCUGCCGGUGUUGUUCGUGCUUGGAGGUUGGAGAUGGGGAUGGACACCGGAGAAAUCCGAGGCUGGCUAGUCCGACCAUGACGGUGACGACGUCCUUGGACACUGUUCCCUUCCUGUUGGCGCCGUCAAGGUUGUUCCUUUCCCCUCCUCUUCACCCUACUUGUAUACCGGGUGAAAACCUAGAUCCUGGUGGGGCUAGGGACUUUUCUGAGCAUGGAGUACAUAUCCCUGGAGAUUAACUUGAUGAAGGAAGAAAUUACAUGGCACUCCCUAUUUCUGUGAGCUGAAUUUAUACACGUAAAAGAAGGUUCUAAAGAGUGAUUUAGAACCUGAUGAGCUACACUAUGGGCAAUACCAUUUAGAUCUCUAGAGAUGUGAUACACCUGUGCUUGGAGACCUGCUGUGACAUGGAUAUAAUCCGCUAAGCUUUUUCUGAGCUCCCAAAGGAUUUUGUUUGUAGCAAUUUCCCUUUUUGCAGCAGCUGUAGCAAGUGUCAGGUUGUCUGUUAAAAAUGUAGCUUGUUGGACUUGUAGAUGCUUCGCUGCAUUUGCUGCCAGCACGAGUGCUGAAUCUGGACCUUGAUACUUUGUUCUCCCGGUAGAUGCAUGAAAACACCAAUCCCUGUAGUCGUUGCUCCUUCCGCAAAGCCUGGAACUUUGACAUUUUUCCAUGAUGCAUCAAAGAAGAUCUUUACACCUGGGAUCAAGAGAUCCGUCUUAAUGGUGCUUCCUUGUUUUGGAAAAACAUUUGCUUGACCUGCA